rnacentral:rRNA from 1 species
CUUUGAUAGUCCGAGUUGUAAUCUAAAGAAGUGUUAUCCGCGUUGGACCGUGUCAAGUCUCCUGGAAUGGAGCAUCAUAGAGGGUGAGAAUCCCGUCUUGAACCACGGCCACCCCUGCUUUGUGAUGCGCUCUCAAAGAGUCGAGUUGUUUGGGAAUGCAGCUCAAAAUGGGUGGUAAAUUCCAUCUAAAGCUAAAUAUUGGCGAGAGACCGAUUGCGAACAAGUACCGUGAGGGAAAGAUGAAAAGAACUUUGGAAAGAGAGUUAAACAGUACGUGAAAUUGCUGAAAGGGAAACGCUUGAAGUCAGUCGCGUUGGCUGGAAAUCAACCUUGCUUUUGCUGGGCGUACUUUCUAGUCAAUGGGUCAGCAUCAAUUUUGACAAGAA